GACCUGUGCUGAGAUGCUCUGAGACCUCCCUAUUUAUAUGGCAUGGCUUAUAAGCUUCUGCAUUUGUCACUCCAUGUGUGAGUCUCAUGCCAGGUUCCAAGUCUCCUUGGCUGCCCAGGAAGGUCAGGAUCCUUCUUGCCCAAAACUUUUUAACUCUUUCUCUGUUUUGAUCAUAUUUUCCAGUUUGUAUUCUGGUUUUGAUGGUAAUCCAUCUUUCAGACAACCUUUCAUAAAAAACAUUUUGUUCUUUUUUUUUUUUUUUUCCCUUGGUCUCUCCUUCCCUCCCUUUUUUUUUUUUUUUUUUUUUUUUUUUUUUUUUUUUUAUAUAUAUAUAUAUUUUAAUUUCAGCAGGUCUAAACCUUCCACACACUGACCCAGACACUGACAUGGAUCCAGAUGGUUGCACUAGGAUCUGACCAACAGCAGGCUGUGGGGGAGCUACCAGAAGAUGGGAAGGGAUGCUGGCAUGGCUCCAUCCUCCUGCACUCAUUCCAGAGGGGAAUGGCUCACAUCCAGCUGCUGAACUCCACCUCUGCUGACGGCGGGCAGGGUCUGAGCCGUGCCAGCCACAGGCAAACCGCGGUGUCCGUGUGUCUGUGUGUCCGUGUGUCCUCAGCCAGGACAGGAGAUGCGGCUGGGCCCGGGGCCGCUGCCAGCGCUGCUUGCGGAGAUUCCCCCGAGCUCCCCGGGGCCGAGGGAGCUCCGCUGGCCGAGCCGGGAUCACCUGGAGCCGGGACUGGCAUCCCCAGCUCUGGCAGGGCCGACUGAGCUCCUGUGCCCUCCCUGAGGGAGCACAGAG
rnacentral:lncRNA from 1 species